GACAGAGGUCUCGAGCGUUAGGCGGAAUCACUGGGCUUAAAGCGUGUGUAGGUGGAUGUCUAAGUACCUUGUGAAAUCCCACGGCUUAACCGUGGAAUUGCUUGGUAUACUGGAUGUCUUGAGCCACUUAGGGGCAACCGGAACAAAUGGUGGAGCGGUGAAAUGCGUAGAUAUCGGAAGGAACGCCGGUGGCGAAAGCGACGGGCUGGCCCUCCACUGACGCUGAGGCGCGAAAGCCAGGGGAGCGAACGGG
rnacentral:rRNA from 1 species